GAGGAAGGAGGGAGGCGUGCUUAACACAUGCAAGUCGAACGGUAAGGCUCCAGCUUGCUGGGGUACACGAGUGGCGAACGGGUGAGUAACACGUGGGUGACCUGCCCUGCACUUCGGGAUAAGCCUGGGAAACUGGGUCUAAUACCGGAUAGGACCAUGGUGUGGAUACUGUGGUGGAAAGUUUUUUCGGUGUGGGAUGGGCCCGCGGCCUAUCAGCUUGUUGGUGGGGUAAUGGCCUACCAAGGCGGCGACGGGUAGCCGGCCUGAGAGGGUGGACGGCCACAUUGGGACUGAGACACGGCCCAGACUCCUACGGGAGGCAGCAGUGGGGAAUAUUGCACAAUGGGCGGAAGCCUGAUGCAGCGACGCCGCGUGGGGGAUGACGGCCUUCGGGUUGUAAACUCCUUUCACCAUCGACGAAGGGUUUCUGACGGUAGAUGGAGAAGAAGCACCGGCUAACUACGUG
rnacentral:rRNA from 1 species